GAGUGUGUAGUGUAUGUUCUGUAGGUUUACAGGAUUAUAUCGAGGGGGUCUCUGAAAUAGCGAUCACAGGCCGUAAUCUUGUCCAGCUCUCGGGCCUUAUUCGCCAUAGGCCAGGCUGGCCCAGUGGAGUGCUGUUGGGAUAUGAACUAAGAUGAAGUGCCUCUGUGGACAAACUGCAUCCUUUGUCCAUAACGUAGCUGGGCCAUCUAUGUCUAUAGAAUCCUCUCUACUGUUGCUGUGUGUGGCUACACUAAGCCCAAUGUGGGUCCUCUUUUCAUUCAUUACCAGACAGAUUGCCGCCCAGAGAGACAUUCAUUGUGCAGGGCAGUGUAUUGGCAUUUUUACGGCUGUGAUAUUGUUUUGCUGCCAUUUCUAUGACUUUUUCAUAUGAUGGUUUUCUCCUUAAAGAGGAUUCCUCUUCAGAAGGUUCUAACAGUGAUAAAAGCCAUGGUUCAGAAGGACUUACGGCUGUCAAUUAGCUUUUCAAUGAGGGGACAGCAUACCAAAGCAUAUAAUAUGUGAUUCUCUGGUCUGCCAUGGCUAUCCUGGUUCCGUCUAUGAAUCCAGCAGGAUUUCACCCAAUUUGGACUUGUAUCUUCUUUUGUUUUUUAGGAACUCCUUUAGCAAUCUGAUAUCAUUAAUUUACACAUUGAAACAAUUUAUAGAUAAUUUCUAGAUGUUACUGUAUGUUUUCCUUGUGGAUGGUAAAUAGAGUAAACUUUUCUCCCAUUAUCUAAGCCAGUGUCUAUCCAACAUUGGUCAUCACCAUCACACACUCCCACUCCGCUAUCCGUACCAGAGGAUAAACAGAGCAGCUCCUACCCAGUCACGGCACCCAGCCUCUCCCUGAAUUGCAUGCAGUCAGUCAGUUUCCACCCAACCAAGUCUCUCACAUUCUAUUCUCCUCUCACUCCAAGUUAUUGAUUGCCAUGAGUUGGGUGACAUCAUCACAGAUUUGAUCAUCAGCCUUAUGGAUUUUUUUGACAGACAAUUUGCCUUGUCCUGUGCUUGGCCAUACGUCUCGCCAUCCAUACCCCAAAAUGUACACCGGGACAGGGUAUUUUCUGGGAGUCCUCUCUUCAGUGAUGGAUCGUUGGAAUAGGAUUGCUGGAUGGAAUAGGACCAAUGUAAAGACAAUCGACUAUGUGACUGUGGGACUGCUGAUGUUUAGGCCAUGGUCUUGUCAGGGAGGGACCAGCUCUCACCCAAUGGGAGGAAGGAGACAUGUGAGGACACACACAUAUACACACUCUGGCACUCUGCCAAGUAAAUACCCUGACUUCAGCUGGUUAAAUGGUUUUAAAGUGUCAAGGGUUUAUAAUUAAGUAUUGACUUUCAUUCCGUCUGACAUCCCUGAAUGGAAUAUUCAUGCAUGCUUUUAAUUUGUAUGUUAGUAGUCUUUUAUUUUCCUUAUUUAUUGUCUGACUGUUUUAACUGUUUACCAUCAACAUAAGCAUGCUAAAAGCAAACACUCACAAAUACAUUAAACAAAAGCUGCUACAGUAUUUCAAUGCACCGUCAGCAUGUUUGUCAGAACAGAGCAGUAGUGUACAUUUCUCUGUGCAUUAUUAUGUUGUGCAGUCUUUUGUUGGAAAUAUACAUUUCACCAGUAUGUACAUACUAUCCCAGCUCAUCCUUGGAACAGUGAACUCCAACAAAACGCUCCAUUUGCCCCCUAAUGCCACGCUGAGGUCAUUUUUCCUAACCUACUAUCUCAAUGGUGUUAUAAACUCAGCUUAAAUCAAUAAAAUGAUGUAAAAGACCAGUGGGCCAGAUUCAGGCUGGGAGCCCAUAAGGUCAGUAUGAAAUGUGAAAAUGCGCCUUCCUUUCCCAUCAGACCUCUGCCUUGGAUUCCCUCAGCCUCUAAAGUGUAGCAUCUACAUGCUGCUGAAUACUGAUGAUCACAGCUCUGCCUGCCUGCUACUACACUCUGCUGGGUAUACUCUCUGGUGGCUUGUAUGUUGACAUAUUAUGGGGUGGGCCUAUGUAAUGUACAAACAUAUGGUUCAACUGUAAGGUUAGUCUACUCUAUCGGACAUCAGAGCAGACAUGGGUGGCUAAAUGUUGUGUCAGCUUCUGUGAAUAUUCAAUUAAAUGGAAAUGUUCCACAUUCAGACAAUAUCAGCACAUAAAUACUUAUAAGUAUUUAUAAGGACAUCAUGAUUUAUGUAGUCUAUUUUCCUUUCUGAUGCGUAUUGCCGGUGGUACAGUAGGUAGUUACAUUCUUGUUACCAUGAAGUGCUUUAUUCCACAAACUAUGACUGGGUCCUUUAAAGUUGCUCCUAAGAGAUUCAUAAAUAUGUUUUCAUUUGUUUUUAGAGAAUUGAAGAGUGUGCUAAUAGAGAUUUCUCUUGUUCAGGGGAGCUGACACAAUGUUAUUCUGUUUUUAAUAAUGCAUCCAUUGUUUUACAAGGCAGCAUCUUCUGGACUGUUUCAGUUACUGUGAUCAGUUUGACUGUUUUACCAAACAAUAACUUGUUUACUAUCCCCCUCUUUAAUUUGAAUGUGGAUGUGUCUUGAAUGGAUGUUUGAUACCACCUUCACACAUACGCACAUCCAUGCACAUCCAUGCACAUCCAUGCACACGUUCACGCAGGCGAAGUUUGAACAAUUUGAAGCUUGACACCUACUUAUUAUUUUGGUUGCAGUUAUUUUAUUGAGUAUAUCUAUUUUACUAUGUUUUAUGUUUAUUUGUGCUGUAGCAACCUCUUCAGAUCUUUGUUCAUUGUCCAUGUUCUGUUUUGUAGGAAAUGGUGGCUAGUUUGCAUCAUUUUGCUUUGAUAAGGACUAUUUCAAAGACAUUUAAAAUAUAAUCAUGGAUUUCUUAUUGAUUAAUAGUUGUAUCAAAUAUUCAGAAUGCACUUAAAUGUUCAAUGCCUCUUAAUGAAGUUAUUCAAAUGUUGUACUCUUAUUUUAAGGUAGAAAAUGCAUAAUUUGUCAUCAAUCUUCCUCUGUAGUAUGUGUUGAUUGACUGACACUCAAUCUGCUGUUAAGUAAUUAUGGACUGAUAUGACAAGGAUUCAUUAGUUCAAAUGUAUAGAUAGAUUAUCCUUGUAAUCUGGACCCUGUCAAAUGUCCUUAAUUAGUUUACAAUCAAUAAUGUAUGGGUCUGCGUGGAAAGUGCAAGGCCCACUCAAUAAUAUACCUAUACUAGUUGAUUCAUGGUAUUGUCAACAUAUUGUAAUGCCCUCCAUGGAUUGCUCUUGGUUUAGAGUUCAACAUGAGGCCAGUAGUAUUGUUAGAUGGAGUGGACUAAUGCUGUUUGUUAAAUUUUCUGGUUGAACACAAAAAAAACACUACAUUCAUGUAAUGCUUCCAGUUUUGUAAAUAAAUGUUGACCACUGCAAUUACA